GUAGGCAUAGUUUAAUCAAAACAUUAGAUUGUGAUUCUAAAGACAGCAGUUAGACCCUGCUUGCCCACC
rnacentral:tRNA from 1 species